AAGGCGGUGUGCCGGCUGCUGCUGCUGCUGCUGCUACUGCCAGUGCAAACAAAAGAAUGGGAGGAAGGAAAUUGUUGCUGGGUAGUAUCUUGAUGAAGAAUAUGAUGGAAGAAGCAAAUGUGAAUGGAAAAGCUACAAAGAUUUCAGGAGAGGAUAGGAAUGCUUCAAAGAAGCCACUUGGAACAUCACACAAGUACAUUCAGAAAAGUAGCAAUUUG